CCAACACUUUAUCUGAGCCAGAGGUCUGUCACUCUGAUUCACACGUUCAGGUACAGAGGGGCACAGCCAGAUGUGCUAGAGAUGAGCACUGGGUUAGGAGCUCUGCGGUACCUGGGAUCGAUCUCCUCACUAAAGGAAACACCACUGCAGAUCCAGAGGCCCCUUUAAGUUCUCUUACGUUCCCUACGCAGGGGAGGAUGGGGGAAAGCAGAAGCCAUCCUACCACAUGUUGGAGGCUCUUGAUCUUUAAAUCAACAUGUGCAAGUGCUCGAUCAGUGUUAAGUCUGCUGAGUUAUUUCUUGACAAGAAAGCAUCUUUUUCAGAAAGUAAACGUUUCAGUAGUUAAUUUUCUAAAAUAGCCCAAAGUAUAUGUCAUUGAUGAUAUUCUUUAGCUUCUUUUUGCUGUUAGAUUUUUAAAAUAUUGACCUUACAGCUUCCUGAAAUCUUUGAGAAGCUCACAGACUCAUUCCUGACGCAUCACAGCUGACUCUGGGCAGUAAUCUCUCAGGCAUGAUGUCCUUCCCUCCAGAGCACUAGAUCCUCUCCAAGCAGCUAAUGUCCAGAGAAUGUUGGCAUCACAGAAGGAUUAUAUGGACACUCAGAUUUUUUUUUUUAAGAUUUCAGUUCUUUCAGACAGCUUUUUUGAGGUAUAGUUCACAUAGUCUUGAAGUGUACAGGUCCGCAGUUGUCAACUGUACAGCAUCUUUCCAGUCCGUCUUUAGAACAUCCUUCCAGAAAGCAACCUCACACCCAUCUGCACUCGGUCCCCACUCAGCGACCACCAACCACCUCUGUCUCUAUAGAAAUUUACUAUACAUGGUCUUUUUGUAUCUGUCAUCUUUCCCUCGCGUGCUACUUCUAAGGUCUGUCCAUGUUAAGCACACGUUAGGACUUUAUUCCUCUGUAUUGCUGAAUACUCCAGUGUGAGGAGGUGCCACACAUUUUCUUCAUUUACUGGUUCCAUUUUUUUAUUAUAAAUAAUGCUGUUCUGAAUAUUCAUAGGCAAGUCUGUGUGGACAGACGUUUCAUCUCUCUUGGGAAUGGGACUUCUGAGUCAUAUUGCAAAUCCAGGUUCAAUAUUUUAAGAACCUACCAAAUAGUUUCCAGUGGUAGCACUAUCCUGCAUUCCCAGCAGCCACAUGUGAGGGUUCUAGCUUGCCUGUAUUCUUCCCAGGACUUGUUACUUUUUGAUGAUGGCCACUCAUGUGAAAUGGUAGCUCCCUGUGUUGUUGAUCUGCAUGUCACUAAUGAUGGUGAGCAUUUUUUCUUGUGUGCACUGGCAAUUUGUUUUUCUCUGAUGUGAUGUCUGUUCCACUCUUUUGCCCCGUCUUUUAAUUGGGUUCUUUGUCUUCUUAUUGAAUUAUGGGAGGUCUUUAUAUGUUUUGGAUAAAAGUCCUUUACUGGGGAUAUGAUCUACAAUAGUUUUUUCUCCUGGUCUCUUGUCUUCUCACUUUCUUAAUGGUGUCUUCAGAAACACAAAAGUUUUUAAUUUUGAAGUCCGGCUUAUUAACUCUUUAUUGCAUGUGCUCUUGAUAUCGUAUCUGAGAAAUCAUUACCUGACCCAAGGUCAUGAAGGUUUUACACUUAUAUUUUCUUGGAAUUGUUUUAUAGUUUCAGAACUUACAUUGAGAUUCGUCAUCUAUUUGUAGUUAAUUUUUGUGUAUGAUAUUGAUAGGAUUCUCUGUGCACUUCAGGUAACUAAUGCCUUAACUUCAACUGUGGGCAAGACAAGAAAGCUCAGCCCAGCACUGCCCCUGUGGUGUGCAGGCGGCCCAUGGAGCCUGGGCCAUUUU
rnacentral:lncRNA from 1 species